CUUUGGACCAAGGGCAAUGUUUCCUUCAGUUCCCCCACCGCUCACCGCUGUUGUUCCCCCACUGUUGCGUCCCUACUGUUCCACACCGCCGUGUCGCUCCUCCUUGUAUCUUAGGAGUUCAGGAACAAUACUGCUUCCACUAUGAAACCUAAUGAUUCUCUUCUUUGAUUCGGUUCCAGUAAUCCUGAGGUACUUAGUCUCAUGUUGGUCUACAGAGCUGAUGCAGUGUUGCAGCGGCUGGUGUGGGUGUUCAGGGCCGAAGUGUGCUUUGUUCUGGUCAGCAGUAGAAGGUUGUUGGAUCCUGGUUAUGUCUGGUUGCUUAAAUUCAGUUGCAAGUUUGCAAUGCUACCAAAACAAAGGGUCUUUAAAGCUAGAUGUUGCAACCGCAAAGCUGCUAAUUGUUCAAGUUUGCAUAUUGCUGCAAACUCUUCACUUUGAAAGAUAUUGCGUUGGAAUUCGUAAAGAUUAGCUUGCUCUACAUGGAGCUUAAGAAGAUUUAUGAGGUUAGUUAUUUGAGAAUUUGCUCGUUUUUACCUUAUGUUUAUUUCUUCUGCACGUGAAGACAUGGCAUCACUUUUGUAUAACUUAACAGUGUGCAUGAACCAUUGUAACAUACCAAUUAAUAAAAUUCUAUGUGUAAAUUGUUCUUAAAUAGUCUGCAUAUAUAGAACUUAAACAUUUGAUCAACUCGGAAGUGUUAAAAGCGGCAUUUUCACUUGAUCAAUAACUAGUGUUUUUGUAUUAUAAUUAUUUCAUGAUUGGAGGAAUUCUAGAAACAUGAACUUGUUAGAUAGGAAUUUCUUUCAUAUGAUCAAACAAGCCUCAAAAGUGCAUAAGAGUGCCACCAUUCCAGAAAGUUAAGCUUUAAUCUAAGAGUGCUGGCACUCUUAGAUUCUGAUUAAGAGCAUCGAAAGUUAAGCUUUUAAAAUAUAUGCAGUUUCAGAUAUAUGUUAGAUCUCCAUCCCCCCAAGAUGGCUUAACCUUCUGGAAUGAAGCCUUAAUCUAGGAGUAUGACUUGCCACAUUUAUGUUUCUGAACUUCUGAUUAUAGCUAUAGUAAAUUAUGGUAAUACCUUCUGGAAUCAUACUACAUUAUUGAUGUACUUGUCUGUUGAACUUGUCACUUGUAGACUCCCUCUCACAUUACAAGCCUUGGAACUAUUUUGUUUCACUAUUAGCACUAUUGUUUUCUGAUAAAAUUGAAGAGGAAAAACUGGACUUUUUCGUCUUUUUCUAGGGGGGAAAUGUCUUCAGUAAUGCUCUAAUUCUUGUAUGUUUAACUAAAAUGCAGGAACAAUCAUAGCAAUCUCUAAAGAUCGUGUCAGACCAUCUCCAAGCCCUGACAGCUGGAAACUGAAUGAGAUUUUUGUUACUGGUUGUGUCAUCGGGGCAUAUCUCGCCUUAGUCACUAUGUUAUUUUACUGGGUCGUAAAUGGCACAGAUUUCUUCGAGGAUAAUUUGGGUGUGAGCUCUCUACCUAGAAACACAGAGAAAACUUCAUCUGCAAUAUAUAUGCAAGUUAGCAACAUUAGCCAGGCCCUCAUCUUUAUUACUCGCACUCAGAGCUGGUCAUUUCUGGAGAGACCUAGAGUUCUUCUCAUGUCUGCAUUUGUGGUGGCGCAAUUGGUAUUCAAUAAUCCGAGGGAGCGGCUUUUUACCUUUGAGGAGAUAGAUGAAGUUCGAGAAAUGUUGGCAAACUUCAUAACCAGUGAUUGUCUUUGAUAUUUUAUUGUACUGAAUCUUAAAUUAUGGAUGCUAGCUAGUUUUUCAUAUGAUUGUAAUGUAAUCGACUUUUAUAUUUACAAUUAUAUACGAUUUAUUUUAAUUAUCUAUAUAA